rnacentral:lncRNA from 1 species
AAAUGCCUUCGAGAUUCUCACGACAAAAAUUGAGAAGAUAGUGGCAAAUAUAUUCCAAAAUUUUCACUAUUCUCAAGAGAAAUGACACAGAAAACUCCAAGAUUCACAAGCUUCUCAAUUAUCAUCUCUAUAAAUACCAUAGAAUUCCAUGUUUUUGGUAUUCCUACUAAUGUUUUCUUUUUUAUAUCAUUAAUUUAUGCUUUUGAAAAAAUCGCAAUUCUAUUAAACUGUUACUAAAUUUUAUCUCCUCCUAUCUUUUGAUGUUUCUUCUGAUUUUCAGGAAUAUUUGGGCUGGCCUUGUUCUAUGAUCCUGAUUGUGAAAUCUCUUUGAUCUAUUAAUGUAUUUCAUGAUUUUAUGUUUAGUCCAUCUCUUCUUAGAUGAUUUCCACGAAGUACGUUUAAAUCUUUGUUACAGAUGAGAUUUAGAUAUUCAAGGUGUUGGAUACUCCUAGUUAUAUGGCUUUCUGCAUGGUAAGCUACCUAGUCUCUAACAAAAGUUAGGACUUGGGGUAAUUUGGUAGGAUGAUGAAUUUGUUUAAGAACUUUGGGCUUAUGGUUACUUUAUUUGUUCUCUUGAUUGAAUUUACUUAUGGUUCUUGAUAAGGUUUGUGAAUUCUCUUGGUAUGGGUUGGUGAUUUGGAACAAUGCUGGGACGAGAGUAAUUAAUGCAUGCAUGGUAAUGAAUAUUUUUAAGAAAGUUAUUCAACAUUUCUUAGGACCUAAGUUAAGCAUGGGUCUCCACAUUUUUGUAACCUUGUUAAAACUUAGGGACCAUAUUUCUGUUGUAUAAACUUGAGUUGCAAGUUUUCUUUUCCUUAUUUGAGUUAUGAUUAUCUAAAAGAUUAGGAAAUAUGAAUUUUGUUAAUGAUAUUCAGAUUAGAAAGUUAUCUAGUCCUAUAUACGAAGAUGCAUAAUGUAUAAUUUGUGAUUUGUGAACUUUAGUUUUUGAAAUAAUAUUCUAAAGCUAAUAAGAAAAAGUGUUUCUUAUAUUGAUUCUUGCCUUCUAUAAUUUCUAGAAAAAUAUCCAUCGGCUCAGUUGGUAGAAGCCAUCGAAAGAGUUUAUCAGGUUGUGUGAGUCGACAGCUCCUUGCAUCUAUGGAAAUGGAAUAUCGUGCCGUUUGCCAAUUAAUUAUUACUAUGUUAUAUGAAACCCACGCUACAAAUAAUUAUGUCCUUUAUAGUAAUUUUUGAGAUAGUUUCAUUUUAACAAAGCAACUUUUAUAUAAUUGUAUAAUCUAAAUUUAAUCAUUUCAUAUUAUUCUAUAAGGAAUAACAUAUAUUCAUGAAUUAAGUAUUCUGAGUUUGUUUGCCCAAAAAGAAUUUAGAAUAUUGUUUCAAAAAAAAUAUUAUAGUUUUUUUUUAAUAUUUGAAAAUGCAAUUUAUAAUUAAUUUAUAUGUAACUACAUUAACCAGAAUUUAAAUUGUUAACCAGUUUAUUGAUCCAUUUGACAACAUUUUAGUUUAUUAUAAUAAUUAAUAGUUAAAAUGGGCUAACCUAACCUUUUAACCGUUUUUUAGCUAUCAAUACUUUUUUUAUUUCUAAGCGACAAAAGAUCAUUCUAUUAUUCAUGAUUGAGGUGGUCUAGGUAGUCUAUGUAACCAGACUGAAAUAGAAUAUCCAACAAAAUAAAGAACCAUACGAAAAGUUCAAGCGCUUCUAACUAAGUGAUCUGCAAUUCUAUUUUAUUCUUGACGAGUAUCAUAUUCUGAAAUCUAUCUUCAAUUCUUCUAUGACCUUCAACUCUGUUGAAAAAAUUAGCUAUAUAUGCGGUUUCCCUAACAUCUUUAUCCCGUCUUUGAACUUCAUCCCAGAGUAUUGACAUGUCGAAUAGUGCAACAUGCUUUCCAUUGCCCAUUGUAGAAAUGAUGAUUUUCGUCUUUGAUUCCUUAUACGCAUAAGCUGUGUCCUUUCAUUGAUAUAUUUCCACAUCUUUUCACAUCCAUUAAAAUCAAUAUAAGGAUCUAAGCAGCUGUCAGUAUUCAUUUUUAAUAUAUUCAUGAUUAAAAAAUAUAUUUAUUUAUCCAUUUAACCCGUAAAAUUUAUGCACAUUCAACGAAAUAACCAUUAAAAACUUGCAAACCAUAAAACAUCAACUUUACAAUAUCAC